UACAGAGGCCCCAAGCGUUGUUCGGAUUCACUGGGCGUAAAGGGUGCGUAGGCGGUCGGGUAAGUCUGAUGUGAAAUCUCGGAGCUCAACUCCGAAACUGCAUUGGAUACUAUUCGGCUUGAGGUCUGGAGGGGGACUGGAAUUCUCGGUGUAGCAGUGAAAUGCGUAGAUAUCUGGAGGAAUACCGGUGGCGAAGGCGGCAUCCUGGACCGACAUUGACGCUGAUGGAGCGAAAAGCUAGGGGAGCCAAACGGG
rnacentral:rRNA from 1 species